rnacentral:misc_RNA from 1 species
CAAAACCCCUCUCGUCGCUCGCUCUUAGGUGCUCUCCCUAACCCCCAUGAUUGUGCAGAUCAGGCCUUAACCUUCUUUUCUGCUUUCCUUCGUUCGCUUUCUUUCUCAAUAUAGGUCGGAGCAACGAUUUUGAAUCUUAUUCUUUUGGGGGGUCAUGCGUUAGGCUUUAGGCCCCUAAGAGCGAGCGACGAGAGGGGUUUUG